UCGGUCGAUCUGUCGGAGCCGGCGACGGCUCUCCUCCUUUUCCGCCUCCUCUCCGGGCCGAGGGGGUCAGCUACGGGGUUUUCUCUCCCCCUUGCCGAGGAGGAGCCGUUUUCGCCACAGCCGCCGCGCGCGAUGGAGCCGGAGUCGGUGAUCGAGGAUAAGACCAUCGAGUUGAUGACAAGUGUGAAAAGGAAAACCCAUUCGAUUUCCCAUUCAUUCUGGAUUGGUGGAUCUGAAGCACAGAAACAGAGUUUCAGGAGAAACUGCUACCUGUAUUGAAAGUAUUUACAAGGAUCAUCUGGAUUACUUACAUACUUGGUGUUGAUGUUAGUACAGCAUAUGGCUUUUCUGUUGAUCUCUAGUUGAAAUUUAAGAACACGGAUAAAUCUAAAAUGUAGGCAUUUCUUUUUGAAGAAAGGAAAAUUGAACAAGGCAGUGUAUAUACAUUAUAUACUUAAUAUUUUUCUCGUGCUGUUUUACUGAAUAAAAAUACCUCAUAACUGCAUAUAUUAAAAACAAAUAAAUUUGCUGUGUCAUCUUUUCAGUAGAGCAGUAUUUCUCUCUGAUAUAAUGGUUGACAGCCCAGUUUUGAAGUCAUAAAUAUGUGUUUUGGUCAGUCUCUGCUAUGAAUUUGGGAUAUAUCGCUGCUUUUAUGGAUGCGCCGCCUUCAUGUCAUUGGACUACUAGUAUUCCAGCAAUUGUCUUUUACGGCAACGAAACUCCUAUAUGAAUAAUUGGUGUUGAUAGCAGGACUUCCUCCAUUCCAAUCCUUGAAUAAUACCAAAGUUACUUUUCCCUUCCACUUAUUCACAUACCUUUUUUAAAAUUGAAUUUUUAAGAUUAUUAUUGCCUUCAUGGCCCUAUUGGAA